rnacentral:rRNA from 1 species
GACGAACGCUGGCGGCGUGCUUAACACAUGCAAGUCGAACGGAAAGGCCCUGCUUUUGUGGGGUGCUCGAGUGGCGAACGGGUGAGUAACACGUGAGUAACCUGCCCUUGACUUUGGGAUAACUUCAGGAAACUGGGGCUAAUACCGGAUAGGAGCUCCUGCUGCAUGGUGGGGGUUGGAAAGUUUCGGCGGUUGGGGAUGGACUCGCGGCUUAUCAGCUUGUUGGUGGGGUAGUGGCUUACCAAGGCUUUGACGGGUAGCCGGCCUGAGAGGGUGACCGGCCACAUUGGGACUGAGGGACGGCCCAGACUCCUACGGGAGGCAGCAGUGGGAAAUAUUGCACAAUGGGCGGAAGCCUGAUGCAGCAACGCCGCGUGCGGGAUGACGGCCUUCGGGUUGUAAACCGCUUUCGCCUGUGACGAAGCGUGAGUGACGGUAAUGGGUAAAGAAGCACCGGCUAACUACGUG